AUUGAACGCUGGCGGCAGGCCUAACACAUGCAAGUCGAGCGGAUGAAGGGAGCUUGCUCCUGGAUUCAGCGGCGGACGGGUGAGUAAUGCCUAGGAAUCUCCCUGGCAGUGGGGGAUAACGUCCGGAAACGGGCGCUAAUACCGCAUACGUCCAGAGGGAGAAAGUGGGGGAUCUUCGGACCUCACGCUAUCAGAUGAGCCUAGGUCGGAUUAGCUAGUUGGUGGGGUAAAGGCCUACCAAGGCGACGAUCCGUAGCUGGUCUGAGAGGAUGAUCAGUCACACUGGAACUGAGACACGGUCCAGACUCCUACGGGAGGCAGCAGUGGGGAAUAUUGGACAAUGGGCGAAAGCCUGAUCCAGCCAUGCCGCGUGUGUGAAGAAGGUCUUCGGAUUGUAAAGCACUUUAAGUUGGGAGGAAGGGCAGUAAGUUAAUACCUUGCUGUUUUGACGUUACCAACAGAAUAAGCACCGGCUAACUUCGUG
rnacentral:rRNA from 1 species